rnacentral:pre_miRNA from 1 species
ACAACAUUCGGACCGUCGGUCUACCGAGCAACAUCACCCGCUCGGUGGAAGAUCUUCCCUUUGUCGU